rnacentral:rRNA from 1 species
UGGUGGAGUGAUUUGUCUGGUUAAUUCCGUUAACGAACGAGACCUCGACCUGCUAAAUAGUUCGGCGAAUCCUUUGGAUUCGUGCGUGACUUCUUAGAGGGACUAUCGGUGUGUAGCCGAUGGAAGUUCGAGGCAAUAACA